CCUGGUCUCUCCCAAAUCGCCGCCACCAACCGCCUCAUCCUCCUCCUCCUCCCACCUCGCCACCAGGCCUCCCCUCCCCUCCUCCCACAUCGCAGCUCUAGAGGCUACCGGAUCCUCCAUAUCCCCCGCCCACCCAUCCCUCUCAUCCCAUCUCUCUCUUGAUGCAUCUCCUCAUUGCGCCACCUGCGGCAGCUGAUUCAGGCGACAUCCGGCGAAUCCAGCCAUCGCGGGAAGCACAACCCGAGGUCUCGUCACACUGCGGAGCCCUCCCAUGCGGCUAGAACCGGUGCUCAUGACCACCAAAGCCCACCCGCGACCUUCCCCUGAUGGCUAGGUUUCGGGUGUCGGCUCCAGCGCUGGUGGCCAAGUCGUCCUCCUCUCGCCGGAGUCUGAUGGUCAAGUUAUUUAGGUCGAGGUAGUAGCUUGCUAAUGGUGGCUUUCACGUCCAGCUCAAAUAGUAGAGGACGUGGGCCAAUUGGAGGAAGCACAUACACCUUUCUUUUAGUGAGCAGGUUCCAAAGAAAGAAAUACUCAAUGCCAUUCGGUGGUUUUUAAUGUGCCAGUCUCUACAUUCAUACCUCCUUUCCCACUCUUAGUCAACUACCCCUAUCUCGCCAAUGGUGUACCUAUUGUUGUGUGAAAUUUAAUGCGACGCGUAGCACUCACCCAUUCAGGCACUAUCGAGAUGGAGGCCAACAUCAUGGACGGCUAGAUGUGCGAGUAGAUUUGUCCAAGAUACGGCAGUGUUCAUAG